GUCAGGGGCGAUUCAAUGAUAGAGAAUCGUCCCCCUACUAAGGGGAAGGUUGGCAGUUCGAACCUGCCCUGGGGCACCA
rnacentral:tRNA from 1 species